rnacentral:rRNA from 1 species
AAGCGAGCCCGCGAGGGGGAGCGAAUCCCAAAAAUAACGUCUCAGUUCGGAUUGUAGUCUGCAACUCGACUACAUGAAGCUGGAAUCGCUAGUAAUCGCGAAUCAGAAUGUCGCGGUGAAUACGUUCCCGGGUCUUGUACACACCGCCCGUCACACCAUGGGAGUCGGAAAUGCCCGAAGUCUGUGACCCAACCUUAGGGAGGGAGCAGCCGAAGGCAGGUCGGAUGACUGGGGUGAAGUCGUAACAAGGUAUC